rnacentral:rRNA from 1 species
UACGUAGGUGGCAAGCGUUGUCCGGAUUUACUGGGUGUAAAGGGAGCGCAGGCGGGAAGGUAAGUUGGAUGUUUAAUCUACGGGCUCAACCCGUAUCAGCAUUCAAAACUAUUUUUCUUGAGUAGUGCAGAGGUAGGCGGAAUUCCCGGUGUAGCGGUGGAAUGCGUAGAUAUCGGGAGGAACACCAGUGGCGAAGGCGGCCUACUGGGCACUAACUGACGCUGAGGCUCGAAAGCAUGGGUAGCAAACAGGAUUAGAUACCCUGGUAGUCCAUGCCGUAAACGAUGAUUACUAGGUGUGGGAGGAUUGACCCCUUCCGUGCCGCAGUUAACACAAUAAGUAAUCCACCUGGGGAGUACGACCGCAAGGUUGAA